rnacentral:rRNA from 1 species
GAUGAACGCUGGCGGCGUGUCUAAGGCAUGCAAGUCGAACGGACUGUUAUUUGUAGCAAUACUUAGAACAGUUAGUGGCAAACGGGUGCGUAACACAUUGGUAACCUGCCUCAAAGUCGGACAUAAUCCCGCGAAAGUGGGACUAAUUCCACGAUAGUCAUCGAAGGUGAGAUUCCUUCGAUGUAAAGUCGCAAGACGCUUUGAGAGGGGCCUAUGGCCUAUCAGCUUGUUGGUGAGGUAACGGCUCACCAAGGCUAUGACGGGUAGGGGUGUGAGAGCACGACCCCCCUCCACUGGACGUNAGACACUGCCGACGANACCUACCGGGUGGGCU